UAAUGUGUAGUAUUAUAUUACACGUUUUUUGUUCAGUUAAGAAACGAAGUACAAUGUUUACAACGAAAUAUUUAUCUGUUAUUUCAGAAUGGGUAUAUUUUUGUUCAACCCGUUGAAAAUACCGGGAAUAAACUAAUGAAGAAAAAUGGUUUGUUUUAUAUGAAUGUCAGAUUGAUGCAUUCACUUGUGGAAAUACUAUAUCUGGUGUUAGCAAGGAAAUAUUAUUCACCUGUGGAAAUACUACAACUGGUGUCCGCAAGGAAAAAUAGUUUGUUUUGUGCACAGCAAACAGCUUUAGUAUCCCAGUGGUGUGUUUUCCGUAGACGUUCGAAGCAGGUGGCUCAGUGCUUUGAAUUAUUUGUAUUUCCCUUGCUCUUUUUAUGCUUGACUUUGCAUGUGUACUUUGUGUUCAUGUUAGUCAUCCCACAGACAUAUUGAUUGGGAAAAGACUCCUUGAAGGGGCAAACAUUUCCGUACGAUACUGCCGCCCAGAUUCCGAGAAAACCGCCCAAGUUGAUAGCAGAUUCCGCCUAUUAUAAUCCAGAUUUCACCUAUAAAAUCGUCACAAACAUGAUCGCGAGAACUACAGUGACGCUGAAACCAGGAGCUGAUGCUAGGCUGCGAAAGUCGGAAGAAACAGUCACUGACACAGUUGUCGACUCUGUUUGAGCAGGUGUUUCAUUGUAAACUGAAUGAACGACAAGCAUGUAGCUUGCAAUUGUUCCCAUGGCGAGAGUUUUACCAGUGGACACCUGUGUAACACUUAUAGUUGCAUAAAUUGUAAAGUCGGUGUUGGUGUUUCCAGCUGCAAAUGAAAUACAAUAUACUUUAUACAUAUUUCAUUAUACAUUGUUUGUUUUGUUAAUUUUAAUUUGGUAUAAACAAAAUGUUGCAAAGGAAUUGUCUCCUUUUAUAAGAUCAAAAUAAAAAGUGCCAUGUAAAUCCCAUGAAUGUAGCAUUCAAAGAUGAAAUGCCUGAAUGUUAAGUGACAAUGUUUGACACCUAAUGUAUCAUGUUUUCAUAAAUCAUGUAUGAGCAAAA
rnacentral:lncRNA from 1 species